UUAAAAAUAAAAGCGGGUAUGAAUAGAGGUAGAGCUAAAUCUUCAAUGUUAGAAUAAUAAUGUAAUAAUUGAUAGUUUGCAUGAUAAAUUUGACCGCUAUGAUACAAAGAGAUGCGAAAGUGCGAAUUUUAGCGAAUCUCACAAAAUAGGAUAAAAUUAGAUAUGGAUUGUAGUCUGAAACUCGACUGCAUGAAUAAGAAAUUGCUAGUAAUCGUGGAUCACCAUGACACGGUGAAUAGUUCUUCGGAUUGGUACUAACCACUCGUCACAUGCUGAAAUUAGUCUACACAAUAAGUUUGCUUUACUGUACUAAGUAAGUAAAUAUAUAAGUAUUUAGAUGUUAGAACAGUAAUCUUCGUAUGUGUGGCUAUGAUUAGUGUAAAGUCGAAAUACGGUUCGUGUAGUGGAAGUUGCACGGG
rnacentral:ncRNA from 1 species